CACCACACUCCAGUCUGGAUGAAGGAGUGAGACCCCAACUCUAAAACAAACAAAACACCAAAAUAGGCUAUACACCGCCAUUUAAAAUAUUUCCCCAAAUUUUUUUUUUGAAAAAUUUCACACCCACAGAUGUUGAAAUUAUAAUAUUAAGAUACAAUUACUGCCUUCACAUGCAGGAUUUUUGAUUAAAAAAAAGAAAAACCUUGGUGGGUAGCACAGGAUUCAUUCUUAUUUUGCAGCUGAGGAAACAAGCUCAGAGAGGUCAACGGACCUACUAUCUGCUCUCCAGCUGGAACUGGAACUGAAGACAUCUGACUUCAGUAACUCAACAUUCUACUGCCACUUCCUGUCCUGGAUACACAACGGGAGUAAUGCCAGAGCUGCUUCUAAGAACAGGUGCGCAAAGGAAGUGUUUUAGUCUCAUUCUUCUGACAAUUGCCAAGGAAAUACUCCUCAGGCCUUGUGUGCACAGCAUUGCCAAAAGUCUGUGGUUAGGAACAUACAAAACCACAAUGGAGACUGGGAGUGGGAAGAUGCGCGGAGAAGAUACUGGGAGGUCUGUGGCUUGCCCCUGGCUUGAGUUUCACAUUGAGUGCUUACACUGUCCCAGGUACUGUGCCUGGACCACAGAGCUGACAGUGGGAUGGUCCAGGAGUCUGCCCGGUGGUGCUCUCAUUCCAGUGGGUUCAACAGUGAGCCAGAAGCUGCCAAUAAGAGAGUAGUGGACUGCAUCGGGCCGACCUUAGUGUUUUGUUUGGUCCAGAUAGUGUUUAGUUAUUUAAGUUGCUCACUUCUAGCUUCUGUGAAGCAAUUUCUGCUGGAUUCCUGAAUAAGUAGCAGCCACCCCCCAUCCUGCAGGCAGGACACAAGCCCGCCCUCCAGCUCACUUCUGUCCCCACCUUCUACUGCCUUACACCCAGGUAACUGACCCUUCACACAUUUACGGUGCCCAUCUGACAUUCAUAGCAUUUAGAGGGGGGACGAAGCCAGGUUACACAGGACCUUGCAGGCCAUGGUAAGAAUUUUGGAUUAAGUGUUUUUAGCUAGGCACGAUGGCUCACACCUGUAAUCCCAGCACUUGGGGAGGCCAAGGGGGGUGGUGGAUCAUUUGAGGUCAGGAGUUCGAGAGCAGCCUGGCCAACAUCGUGAAACCCUGUCUCUACUAAAAAUACAAAAAUUAGCCAGGCGUGGUGGCACAUGCCUGUAAUCCCAGCUACUCUGGAGGCUGAGGCAGGAGAAUCGCUUGAACCUAGGAGGCGGCGGUUGCAGUGAGCCGAGAUUGCGCCAUUGUACUCCAGCCUGGGUGACAAGAGAUUGUCAGAAAAAAAAAAUUGUUUUUACUAUUUUUGGUUUAGAAAAAUUCUUUUGGAUUUUAUUCCAAGUGUGAUGGGAAGCCUUGGGGGGUUUUAACUAGGGAAUAAUGUGAUCUGGUUCACAUUUUCAAAAGAUCAUUCUGCUAUAUAGAAAAGUAAUGAGGCAACAGAGGAAGCAGGAAGAUCCAUUAGGAAGCCAUAUUAUAGUGGCCCACUAGGUGACAGUAGCCAGGACCAGGAUGGUAACAGAAAAGCUGGAGAGAAGCAACAGCCUCAGGAUGUCACAUGGAGUGUAACCAAAAGAACGUUCUGGUGAACAGAUGACAGCUGUGGUGGUGGGACAGAAGGGAUAAUGAAUGGGGAGUCAUCAAGGAUAACUCCACGGUUGUGGCUUGUUCCAACAUUGAGAGGUCAGGGGCAACCAGGGGGGGUCAUAGUUUUCGUGAGAGAGAUCAAGAGUUUGACUUGGGAUGAAUAAAUUUGCCUACACUCAAGCCUUCCCAGAUACCUCAUUUCCCUUACCUGCCACACCCACGCAGCCUUCAAAUUCACAAAUUUAAACUUCUCAAUACCGACUCUCUUAUCAAAUGUACCCCUUCAACUUCAAUACCCAUUGCCUCUGUCCUGCUCUGGUCCUCUCUUGCCUUGACAUAUAUAACAAUAGCUAUGAAUAAACUAACACAAAGCACUUAAUAAGGGUGUAUCUCUCUCUCCCACCAGCCAUCUUUGAUGGCAGAAACCAUGUCUUAUUCGUAUUUAAUCCCCAGCUCAUAUUUAUUUGGGCACAGAGUGGGCACUCAAAUAUCUGAUGAACUUGAUG
rnacentral:lncRNA from 1 species